rnacentral:lncRNA from 10 species
CAUAAUUGAGACUAAUGAAAACAGAUUAACAUGCAAGGUGUGUAAGAGUCAAAGAAAGUUUUCUCUUGAGCUAUCCACCUUUUAGCAAUUGAGUAAGGUAUCAUCCUGUGAACAAAAUUUGGAACAUAUCUGUUUCUCUCUGCCUGGCUUCCCCAGAAUUCAGAAACUAUGCCACCAAACUCCAAAUGGUCAUGAAACCAGAGUCUCAGACUACGACUCCCUUUUACUGUGGACCCUUAGAUAGUCCUCUGAAGGAGAUCUGACUACCAUGUUCCCAAAACAGCACCCUGUCAGCAGGAAGCAGUCAAGAUCGGUUUUUAUCUCUAUUCUAACAACAGUUAGAUGUACCUCUUCAGAGGGGGAAAAUGAUAGCAAUAGGAGGCAGACAAAUACCUAGGCAGAUAGGGUUGGGUCCCCAGUGAAACCCCACUUUCAAGCCAAACACAGUCCCAAGUAAAUCCUUGCACCAGAUUGAGAAACUGUCUUCCUGUUUGGUGCACUUUCCUCUGAUUGAUCCCCAUACUUCACCUAUUUCACAUAUAUCUACCUUUCUCUGUUAUUUUUUUUAACACUGUUAUGACCUCCUUUGAGUGGUGCCUUUAACCUUUUUGCAUACUUAACCAAUCAGCAUGCAUUCCCCUAUUCUGAGCCCAUGAAAUGCCCCAGACUCAGUCACACUGAGAGAGAAACCACCCAACUGCAGGGUGCAGUUGGUUGCAGAACAAGAGCUCAGGAACUACCAAAUGCAAGUACAAGCUAUAGCACAGGCCAUCUGAGUGGACAAGGCACCUCCAGCAGCAGGCCCAGGGCCAAGUGAGGCCCAGGCAGGGGGGAUGCAUCACCAGCCAUGGAGGUCCUCGGUUGGCAAAGUGGCAACAAAAAAUCCUGCAUCGUUUCCAUGCAUUUAAAUUACCUGGUCCUUGAAGGCAUUUAAGUUUGAAAUUCCUGAGUGAAAGAAUAAGAAUGAGCAUUAUAUUUAUAAAAAUAAAGAUUUGAAUUCUA